rnacentral:rRNA from 1 species
UACGAAGGUGGCAAGCGUUACUCGGAAUUACUAGGCGUAAAGCGCAGGUAGGCGGUUCGAUAAGUCUUUUGUGAAAGCUCCCGGCUUAACUGGGAGAGGUCAAGAGAAACUGUCGGGCUAGAGUGUGGUAGAGGUAACUGGAAUUCCCGGUGUAGCGGUGAAAUGCGUAGAUAUCGGGAGGAAUACCUAUGGCGAAAGCAGGUUACUGGGCCAUCACUGACGCUGAGCUGCGAAAGCUAGGGGAGCAAACAGG